AUUAUUGAAUGAGACUGUAAAUAAUAAAUGUCAUGUUUUAACUCUAACUCUAGAUGUUUGUUUGUGUAAAUGCAGUGUGUACGGUGAGUUCUGCGCGAGCGGGGAGCAGAGUUGCCAUGGAAACGGGGCGUCAAUACAAAAACCGUUACUGGCAAGCAGUAAUCUCCAUCUCUCGCUGCGGUUUACACUGCUUUAGGAGGACACAAAGAAACUCUACAGAACAGAAGUGAAGCUCCAAGAUUUCAACAUUUUUGAAGGGAGAUACUGACUAAGAAAUACAGGUGAACUGAAGAAGCUCAUGCAAUACAUUAAUUUGCCUUUUUCAGAAUAUAUUUCAAAAAUUUUAAGAAGUCCCUGACAUCAAAACAUAAGUCACACUCAACCUAAAACUAAAACUAUAGAUUCUGUUAUUUUAAGAUUAAAUUAUUAGUAGUAGAAUUUGUAUAUUACAUAUGUUAUUAUAAUUGUUAUACAUUAUUCUGUCUUUUAUCUGCAUUUUACCUCUGCUCUAUCUUGUUUCCUUCUAAUGAACCUGGAACUGCAGAGUAAAUAUUGUUGUUUCUGUGUCAGGUGGCUUGUUUUGUUCCUAGACUCUUCAGUGAUGAUGAGCAGAGUCUGAGUGAACCUGCUGUCAGACAACAGUUGUGAAUGCACUGACAGCUGGUUGCUCAGGCUUUGGAUUAAAGGUAAUACUGUUGUAAGUAAAGGCCCUGCUCACCCUGUCGGCCCACCGCUGCUGUCAGACAACAUCUCCAAGAUGCUAUAAACUGCAGGACUAGAUGGACAUCCCAAGGUUACUAGAGAUUACACCAGCUCCAAACUGAAUCCAAACUCACUUGUGAAGACUUCAUAUGACACCAACGCUCACAAAGACAGCUUACAGACGACGGCGACUGUACAUGAACACACAAAACAUUAGACACACAAAACAAAUAUUAUCCUUAUAUUGCCUAAAAGGGUCAAUUUGAUGAUUUUCAACCUUCUUUGUAAUAUUGCAACGUCUCUUAUAUCUGUAAAUGAACAAUAUUUACUCUCUCUGAGUUAUACCUGCAUGUCCCCUUUUAUUUGUAAGCAGCACUCCGAAGGAUGAUG